GAUGAACGCUGACAGAAUGCUUAACACAUGCAAGUCAACUUGAAUUUGGGUUUUUAACUUAGGUUUGGGUGGCGGACGGGUGAGUAACGCGUAAAGAACUUGCCUCACAGCUAGGGACAACAUUUGGAAACGAAUGCUAAUACCUAAUAUUAUGAUAAUAGGGCAUCCUAUAAUUAUGAAAGCUAUAAGCGCUGUGAGAGAGCUUUGCGUCCCAUUAGCUAGUUGGAGAGGUAACGGCUCACCAAGGCGAUGAUGGGUAGCCGGCCUGAGAGGGUGAUCGGCCACAGGGGGACGAGGACACGGCCUUUCCCCCUACGGGGGGCAGCAGUGGGGAAUAUUGGACAAUGAACCGGGAGUCUGAUCCAGCAAUUCUGGGUGCAAGAAGAAGUUUUUCGGAAUGUAAAGUGCUUUCAGUUGGGAAGAAACAAAUGGCGGUACCAACAGAAGAAGUGGCGGCUAAAUCCGU
rnacentral:rRNA from 1 species